rnacentral:rRNA from 1 species
AUUGAACGCUGGCGGCAUGCCUUACACAUGCAAGUCGAACGGCAGCGGGGGAGAAGCUUGCUUUUCCUGCCGGCGAGUGGCGAACGGGUGAGUAAUACAUCGGAACGUGCCCUGUAGUGGGGGAUAACUAGUCGAAAGAUUAGCUAAUACCGCAUACGACCUGAGGGUGAAAGUGGGGGACCGCAAGGCCUCAUGCUAUAGGAGCGGCCGAUGUCUGAUUAGCUAGUUGGUGGGGUAAAGGCCUACCAAGGCGACGAUCAGUAGCUGGUCUGAAAGGACGCUCAGCAACACGGGGACUGAGACACGGCCCAGACUCCUACGGGAGGCAGCAGUGGGGAAUUUUGGACAAUGGGCGAAAGCCUGAUCCAGCAAUGCCGCGUGUGUGAAGAAGGCCUUCGGGUUGUAAAGCACUUUUGUCCGGAAAGAAAUGGCUCUGGUUAAUACCUGGGGUCGAUGACGGUACCGGAAGAAUAAGGACCGGCUAACUACGUGCCAGCAGCCGCCGUAACAC